ensembl:lncRNA
AUGGGCCACCGCCCCACUGUGCUUAGUCACUGUCUCAGUAAAGCCCAUACUCAUCACCAUCACAACGACAUCUGCCUGAUCAAGGAGGGUGGGAAGGAGGAAGGGAGUGACGGAAAGACAAGAAGGAACGCAAGAAAGAGAGAAAGAAGAAGUUGUUUUUUCCCUGUUGUUUUAUUGUUCUUCUUUCUGGCUCCCCAUCCAUCUCUCCUUCCCUGUUGUUUUAUCUUCUUUCUGGCUCCCCAUCCAUCUCACCUUCCCUGUUGUUUUAUCUUCUUUCUGGCUCCCCAUCCAUCUCUCCUUCCCUGUUGUUUUAUCUUCUUUCUGGCUCCCCAUCCAUCUCUCUCCUUCCCUGUUCUUCUUUCUGGCUCCCCAUCCAUCUCCUCCCUGUUGUUUUAUCUUCUUUCUGGCUCCCCAUCCAUCCUCUCCUUCCUCUGUUGUUUUAUCUUCUUUCUGGCUCCCCAUCCAUCUCCCUUCCCUGUUCUUCUUCUUCUGGCUCCCCAUCCUCUCUCCCUGUUCCCGUUGUUUUAUCUUCUUUCUGGCUCCCCAUCCAUCUCUCCUUCCCUGUUGUUUUAUUUCUUUCUCUGGCUCCCAUCUCUCUCCUUCCGCUGUGGUGUUUUAUUUUCUUUCUGGCUCCCCAUCCAUCUCUCCUUCCCUGUUGUUUUAUCUUCUUUCUGGCUCCCCAUCUAUCUCUCCUUCCCUCUUUUUUCUUUUUCCACGCUGUCAGUCUGCCUCCAACCCCUUAACCCCCCACCCUCUCUAUCAGAAUGUUAUUGUGACAGAUAGGUGUUCUUUGUCUCUGUUAGUUAACCUCUCUGGGAUAUCUGGGACACUAGCGUCCCACCUGGCCAAAUGCCAGGGAACAUGCAGAGUGCCAAAUUCAAAUAAAUUACUAUAAAAAUCAAACUUUCAUUAAAUCACACAUGCAAGAUAGCAAAUUAAAGCUACACUUGUUGUGAAUCCAGCCAACGUGUCAGAUUUCAAAAAUGCUUUUUGGCAAAAGCAAAAGAUGCUGUUAUCUGAGGACAGCACCUCAGUAAACAAAGAGAGAGAAGCAUAUUUCAACCCUGCAGGCGCAACACAAAACGCAGAAAUAAAAAUACAAUUCAUGCCUUACCUUUGACAAGCUUCUUUUGUUGGCACUCCAAUAUAUCCCAUAAUCAUCACAAAUGGUCAUUUUGUUCGAUUAAUUCCGUCGAUAUAUAUCCAAAAUGUCCAUUUAUUUGUUGCGUGUGAUCCAGAAAAACACCGGUUCCAACCUGCGCAAUGUGACUACAAAAUAUCUCAAAAGUUACCUGUAAACUUUGCCAAAACAUUUCAAACUACUUUUGUAAUACAACUUUAGGUAUUUUUUAACGUAAAUAAUCGAUAAAUUGAAGACGGGAUGAUCUGUGUUCAAUACAGGAGGAAAACAAACUGAAGCUAGCUUUCUGGUCACGCGCCUCUAUCUAACAGUACACUUCAAGUUACCCUCGUUCUGGGUGGCCGUACUUCUUCAUUACACAAAGGAAAAACCUCAACUAAUUUCUAAAGACUGUUUGACAUCCAGUGGAAGUGGUAGGAACUGCUAGACGGUCCCUUAGAAAUCUGGAUUCCCAAUGAAAAACAAUUGAAAAGAGAGUGACCUCAAAAAAAAAGAAUUCUGAAUGAUUUGUCCUCUGUAACGGCGUUUGUCUGUUGAAGUAGAGUCGGACCAAAAUGCAGCGUGGUGGUUACUCAUGUUCUUAAAUGAAAAAAUAGCGAUACAUGAAAUAACUAAAUAAAUACAAAAACAACAAACGAAACGUGAAAACCUAAUUACAGCCUAUCUGGUGAACACUACACAGAGACAGGAACAAUCACCCACAAAAUACACAGUGAAACCCAGGCUACCUAAAUAUGGUUCCCAAUCAGAGACCACGAGAAUCACCUGACUCUGAUUGAGAACCGCCUCAGGCAGACACACCCCUAAUCAGCCACAAUCCCAAUGCCUACAAAAACCCCAAUACGACAACACAAUAAACCCAUGUCACACCCUGGCCUGAACAAAUAAUUAAAGAAAACACAAAAUACUAAGACCAAGGCGUGACAUCCUUGGGGUUUCGCCUGCUAAAUAAGUUCUGUUAUACUCACAGACAUGAUUCAAACAGUUUUAGAAACGUCAGAGUGUUUUCCAUCCAAAUCAAAUAAUAUGCAUAUCUUAUCUUCUGGGGAUGAGUAGCAGGCAGUUGAAUUUGGGCAUGCAUUUCAUCCUGAUGUGUAAAUACUUCCCCCUGUCACCAAGAAGUUAAGCAUAGCCCCUGUGACAUUAAACAUUUCGCCUCUAGUGACACUGUAAUUUCCUUAUAUUGCUCUGCAUAGGUAUUUACUCCACAUUAACACAUUGACCCACAUACCUGUCAUAUCUGGCAUGCUUUCAUGUCAAGGUGGUUCAGUCAACACUGCUUGCAUGAUGAGUAACUUUGCUUGGGACCUGAAGACUUGUGUUUUCUCCCAGAGCUAAUCUUUGGCUUUAGCUCAGUGGAAUAACAUCUGAGUGGUUUGGACGACGCAGGUCUAAUACCUAGUCUUUAUCGUUGGGAUAAGUUAAUUUCUCAGUACUGCACUGCACACCACACUAAAUUUGGAGAAGGUGAGCACCUUUACUUGAUUUAAAGAUAUACUCCACUGGGAGAAAUUGCCUCUCUAAUACGAUAAAAACGUACAUUUCCUGGCCACUACUCCACACUGGCACAUAGGUGAAACGGCUUUCUUCCGCUGAAGGAGAGGAGGACCAAAAUGCCGCGUGGUUAGUGUUCAACAUCUUUAAUAUAGACGAAAAACAAGAACACUACAAAAUACAAAACAAUAAAUGUGAAAACCGAAACAGUCCUAUCUGGUGCAAUGACACAAAGACAGAAGACAACCAUCCACAAAGUACCCACAGAAUAUGGCUGCCUAAAUAUGGUUCCCAAUCAGAGACAACGAUAGACAGCUGCCUCUAAUUGAGAACCAAUCUAGGCAACCAUAGACAUACAAACUACCUAGAAAGGGACCAGCCCCAUAAACAUACAAAAACCCCUAGACCAGUCAAAACACAUAAAUCCCCCAUGUCACACCCUGACCUAACCAAAAUAAUAAAGAAAACAAAGAUAACUAAGGCCAGGGCGUGACAAUAGGUUAGUACAUGUACCACUGGAACAGCACAAAAUCAGCUGUAGUUUUGCCAUAUUCAGUUUGGUACAUUAAUACAUUACAAUUAUAUCACAAACCAUGUCUCGCACAGUGUGAUUUUCCCAGUCACUAUUUCUUUCAAUCUUCCCCACCUUUUUAUCUCUAUUAGGGCACAAGGCGAGGCCCAAAUGCAGACACAGGCAUAUGGUUGAGCAUCGAUAUUUAUUAUACCAAUAUGGGUAGGCAAAAGGGAGGUCGGGGACAGGCGAUAGUUCAUAGACCAGUACCAGGCAAUAGGCAGGCUCGAGGUCAGGACAGGCAGGGGUUCAGUGAACAGGUCCAAGUCCAAACAGUACAAGGGGAUAGGCAGGUUCGAGGUCAGAACAGGCAGAGUGGUCAGGCAGGGGGAUUUGGCAUCAGGACAGGCAAGGGUCAAAACCAGGAGGGCUAGGAAAAAACAGAGACUGGGAAAGAUAGGAGCUAAGAGAAAUGCUGGUUGACUUUGCAAAACAAGACGAACUGGCACAGAGAGACAGGAGACACAGGGAUAAAUACACCGGGGACUAAUGGGGAAAACAGGAGACACCUGGAGGUGGGUGGAGACAAUCACAAAGACAGGCGUGUCAAUCUCUCUCUCUCCCUUUUCUCUCUCUCGCUCUGUCUUACUGUUCUGCUAUGUGGGAGGUCAGGGGUGGAGAAAAUUAUAUCCAUCAUUAUCUGUGUCUUUAUAUAUUAAAUUAUAUCCAUUAUUAUCUCCUAACAAUAUUUUACCUUGCACCUCUAAUCAAGGCAGAGAAAAUCACUGGUACAGACAAGUCCAGGCCAGCCGUGUGUGUGUGUGUGUUUAACCUUUGUUCGUGUCACUCACCUUACUGGAGCUGCCACUUCCUGAUAACUCAGCCUAUAUAUCACCGGCUGAGAGGAAACUGAGAAUCCCAAGGAGCCGGAAUGGAGCCAGAAGAGAGGGACAUGUUAGCUUGUCACUCCUCUUUAUUGUUAUCUGCAGAUAAGUUGACCUAUCAGGAACUCUAGUCCCUACAAUUUACCUCAAAUAUUCUGUUUGUCUGUUUGAAUCUCUCAUAAAACAACUGUUCCAAGUGGAGCAGUUUCCUGACCACUACUCAGUGUAUGUUUUUAUCGAAGUGGAACCACUUCUGUCACGAUUAGUUAUCUUCAAGAACCACCACCAAAU